rnacentral:rRNA from 1 species
AUUGAACGCUGGCGGCAUGCUUUACACAUGCAAGUCGAACGGUAACAGGCCGCAAGGUGCUGACGAGUGGCGCACGGGUGAGUAAUGCAUCGGAACGUGCCCAGUCGUGGGGGAUAACUACUCGAAAGAGUAGCUAAUACCGCAUACGAUCUAUGGAUGAAAGCGGGGGACCGUAAGGCCUCGCGCGAUUGGAGCGGCCGAUGUCAGAUUAGGUAGUUGGUGGGGUAAAGGCACACCAAGCCAACGAUCUGUAGCUGGUCUGAGAGGACAACCAGCCACACUGGGACUGAGACACGGCCCAGACUCCUACGGGAGGCAGCAGUGGGGAAUUUUGGACAAAGGGCGCAAGCCCGAUCCAGCAAUGCCGCGUGCAGGAAGAAGGCCUUCGGGUUGUAAACUGCUUUUGUACGGAACGAAACGGCUCUGGUUAAUACCCGGGGCUAAUGACGGUACCGUAAGAAUAAGCACCGGCUAACUACGUG